GCGCCCGUGGCGGAACUGGCAGACGCGUACGGUUCAGGUCCGUAUUUUCGUAAGGAAGUGGAGGUUCAAGUCCUCUCGGGCGCACCA
rnacentral:tRNA from 1 species